UCGAGCGGUAAGGCCCUUCGGGGUACACGAGCGGCGAACGGGUGAGUAACACGUGAGCAACCUGCCCCCGACUCCGGGAUAAGCGGUGGAAACGCCGUCUAAUACCGGAUACGACACACCGCCUCAUGGCGGUGUGUGGAAAGUUUUUCGGUCGGGGAUGGGCUCGCGGCCUAUCAGCUUGUUGGUGGGGUAACGGCCUACCAAGGCGAUUACGGGUAGCCGGCCUGAGAGGGCGACCGGCCACACUGGGACUGAGACACGGCCCAGACUCCUGCGGGAGGCAGCAGUGGGGAAUAUUGCGCAAUGGGCGAAAGCCUGACGCAGCGACGCCGCGUGGGGGAUGACGGCCUUCGGGUUGUAAACCUCUUUUACCACCAACGCAGGCUCCCAGUUCUCUGGGGGUUGACGGUAGGUGGGGAAUAAGGACCGGCUAACUACGUGCCAGCAGCCGCGGUAAUACGUAGGGUCCGAGCGUUGUCCGGAAUUAUUGGGCGUAAAGAGCUCGUAGGCGGCGUGUCGCGUCUGCUGUGAAAGACCGGGGCUUAACUCCGGUUCUGCAGUGGAUACGGGCAUGCUAGAGGUAGGUAGGGGAGACUGGAAUUCCUGGUGUAGCGGUGAAAUGCGCAGAUAUCAGGAGGAACACCGGUGGCGAAGGCGGGUCUCUGGGCCUUACCUGACGCUGAGGAGCG
rnacentral:rRNA from 1 species